GAUGAACGCUGGCGGCGUGCCUAAUACAUGCAAGUCGAGCGAACAGACGAGGAGCUUGCUCCUCUGACGUUAGCGGCGGACGGGUGAGUAACACGUGGAUAACCUACCUAUAAGACUGGGAUAACUUCGGGAAACCGGGGCUAAUACCGGAUAAUAUAUUGAACCGCAUGGCUCAAUAGUGAAAGACGGUUUUGCUGUCACUUAUAGAUGGAUCCGCGCCGCAUUAGCUAGUUGGUAAGGUAACGGCUUACCAAGGCAACGAUGCGUAGCCGACCUGAGAGGGUGAUCGGCCACACUGGAACUGAGACACGGUCCAGACUCCUACGGGAGGCAGCAGUAGGGAAUCUUCCGCAAUGGGCGAAAGCCUGACGGAGCAACGCCGCGUGAGUGAUGAAGGUCUUCGGAUCGUAAAACUCUGUUAUUAGGGAAGAACAAAUGUGUAAGUAACUAUGCACGUCUUGACGGUACCUAAUCAGAAAGCCACGGCUAACUACGUG
rnacentral:rRNA from 1 species